AGCGAACGCUGGCGGCAGGCUUAACACAUGCAAGUCGAACGGGCACUUCGGUGCUAGUGGCAGACGGGUGAGUAACACGUGGGAACGUACCUUUCGGUUCGGAAUAAUUCAGGGAAACUUGGACUAAUACCGGAUACGCCCUUUUGGGGAAAGAUUUAUCGCCGAUAGAUCGGCCCGCGUCUGAUUAGCUAGUUGGUGAGGUAAUGGCUCACCAAGGCGACGAUCAGUAGCUGGUCUGAGAGGAUGAUCAGCCACAUUGGGACUGAGACACGGCCCAAACUCCUACGGGAGGCAGCAGUGGGGAAUAUUGGACAAUGGGCGCAAGCCUGAUCCAGCCAUGCCGCGUGAGUGAUGAAGGCCUUAGGGUUGUAAAGCUCUUUUGUCCGGGAAGAUAAUGACUGUACCGGAAGAAUAAGCCCCGGCUAACUUCGUGCCAGCAGCCGCCGUAA
rnacentral:rRNA from 1 species